rnacentral:rRNA from 1 species
UACAGAGGUCCCAAGCGUUGUUCAGAUUCAUUGGGCGUAAAGGGUGCGUAGGCGGCGCCGUAAGUCAGGUGUGAAAUCUCGGGGCUUAACUCCGAAACUGCAUUUGAUACUGCGGUGCUUGAGGACUGGAGAGGAGACUGGAAUUUACGGUGUAGCGGUGAGAUGCGUAGAUAUCGUAAGGAAGACCAGUGGCGAAGGCGGGUCUCUGGACAGUUCCUGACACUGAGGCACGAAGGCCAGGGGAGCAAACGGG